rnacentral:rRNA from 1 species
AUUGAACGCUGGCGGCAGGCCUAACACAUGCAAGUCGAGCGAUCGGCGGACGCGUGAGUAAUGUAUGGGGACUGCCCGAUAGAGGGGGAUAACUACUGGAAACGGUAGCUAAUACCGCAUACUAUCGAUUAACCCAUAUGGGAUUAGCUAUUAGGUGGGGUAAUGGCUCACCUAGGCGACGAGCCCUAGCUGGCCUGAGAGGAUGAUCAGCCACACUGGAACUGAUACACGGCCCGUACGCAUACGGAGGCAGCAGUGGGGAAGAGUGCACAAUGAGCGCAAGCCGGAUGCAGCCAUGCAGCGUGUAUGAAGAAGGCCCUAGGGUUGUAAAGUACUUUCAGUCGGGAGGCGUUACCGACAGAAGAAGCACCGGCUAACUCCGUGCCAGCCGCCGCGGUAAUAC